rnacentral:rRNA from 1 species
AUUGAACGCUGGCGGCAUGCUUUACACAUGCAAGUCGAACGGCAGCGCGGGCUUCGGCCUGGCGGCGAGUGGCGAACAGGUGAGUAAUACAUCGGAACGUGCCCAGUAGUGGGGGAUAGCUCGGCGAAAGCCGGAUUAAUACCGCAUACGACCUGAGGGUGAAAGCGGGGGAUCUUCGGACCUCGCGCUAUUGGAGCGGCCGAUGGCAGAUUAGCUAGUUGGUGGGGUAAAGGCCUACCAAGGCGACGAUCUGUAGCUGGUCUGAGAAGACGACCAGCCACACUGGGACUGAGACACGGCCCAGACUCCUACGGGAGGCAGCAGUGGGGAAUUUUGGACAAUGGGCGAAAGCCUGAUCCAGCAAUGCCGCGUGUGUGAUGAAGGCCUUCGGGUUGUAAAGCACUUUUGGCGGGAACGAAAAGGACUGUGCCAAUACCACGGUUCGAUGACGGUACCCGCAGAAUAAGCACCGGCUAACUACGUG